rnacentral:rRNA from 1 species
AAGCGGAGGAAAAGAAACCAACAGGGAUUGCCUCAGUAACGGCGAGUGAAGCGGCAAAAGCUCAAAUUUGAAAUCUGGCACCUCUGGUGUCCGAGUUGUAAUUUGGAGAGGCAUCUUCCGGAGGGGCCCAGCCUAUGUUCCUUGGAACAGGACAUCGCAGAGGGUGAGAAUCCCGUUCAUGGCUGGAUGUACCCUUCAGUUUGUAGCGCCUUCUACGAGUCGAGUUGUUUGGGAAUGCAGCUCAAAAUGGGUGGUAAAUUUCAUCUAAAGCUAAAUAUUGGCGAGAGACCGAUAGCGCACAAGUAGAGUGAUCGAAAGAUGAAAAGCACUUUGAAAAUAGAGUCAAAAAGUACGUGAAAUUGUUGAAAGGGAAGCGCUUGAGACCAGACUCAGCCUUUGGCAAACAAUUAUCCUUCUGGAUGGUGCACUUGCCCUUGGCUGGGCCAGCAUCAGUUAGGACGGUAGAAUAAAGGCUCAAGGAAUGUGACUCCACUCUGGAGUGUUAUAGCCUUGAGUGCCAUACUGCCUGUCUUGACUGUGGACCGCGCUUCGGCUAGGAUGCUGGCA